rnacentral:rRNA from 1 species
ACAUGCAAGUCGAGCGGAUGAAGGAGCUUGCUCUCUGAUUCAGCGCGGACGGGUGAGUAAUGCUAGGAAUCUGCCUGAUAGUACGGGGGACAACGGUUUCGAAAGGAACGCUAAUACCGCAUACGUCCUACGGAGAAAGCAGGGGACCUUCGGGCCUUGCGCUAUCAGAUGAGCCUAGGUCGGAUUAGCUAGUUGGUGAGGUAACGGCUCACCAAGGCGACGAUCCGUAACUGGUCUGAGAGGAUGAUCAGUCACACUGGAACUGAGACACGGUCCAGACUCCUACGGGAGGCAGCAGUGGGGAAUAUUGGACAAUGGGCGAAAGCCUGAUCCAGCCAUGCCGCGUGUGUGAAGAAGGUCUUCGGAUUGUAAAGCACUUUAAGUUGGGAGGAAGGGCAUUAACCUAAUACGUUAGUGUUUUGACGUUACCGACAGAAUAAGCACCGGCUAACUUCGUGCCAGCAGCCGCGGUAAUACGAAGGGUGCAAGCGUUAAUCGGAAUUACUGGGCGUAAAGCGCGCGUAGGUGGUUUGUUAAGUUGAAUGUGAAAGCCCCGGGCUCAACCUGGGAACUGCAUCCAAAACUGGCAAGCUAGAGUAUGGCAGAGGGUGGUGGAAUUUCCUGUGUAGCGGUGAAAUGCGUAGAUAUAGGAAGGAACACCAGUGGCGAAGGCGACCACCUGGGCUAAUACUGACACUGAGGUGCGAAAGCGUGGGGAGCAAACAGGAUUAGAUACCCUGGUAGUCCACGCCGUAAACGAUGUCGACUAGCCGUUGGGAUCCUUGAGAUCUUAGUGGCGCAGCUAACGCAUUAAGUCGACCGCCUGGGGAGUACGGCCGCAAGGUUAAAACUCAAAUGAAUUGACGGGGGCCCGCACAAGCGGUGGAGCAUGUGGUU